ACCUGCGGAAGGAUCAUUGUCGUGACCCUAACCAAAAUAGACUGUGAAUAUGUUAUCCAUAUUGCCGGGUGAUGGUCCUUGCACUGCCUCUCGGCAUGGGCCCUUCUUCUUAAGGAAGUGAGGGUCCAAAAAAGAACCCACGGCGCCGGAUGGCGUCAAGGAACACUAAAGUUGUUUGCUCAGGGCUGUGUCUAGCAUGCUGGAUGAGCUCUGUGCUGUGAUGCUAUUUAAACCCAUAAGACUCUCGGCAACGGAUAUCUUGGCUCUCGCAUCGAUGAAGAACGUAGCAAAAUGCGAUACCUGGUGUGAAUUGCAGAAUCCCGUGAACCAUCGAGUUUUUGAACGCAAGUUGCGCCUGAGGCCGCUUGGUCGAGGGCACGUCUGCCUGGGCGUCAACCCCAAAGACACUCUCAUGCCAUCCUUGUGCGGGGAUGUGGCGUCUGGUCUUCCAUUCCAUUUGUAAGGAGUGGUGGGCUAAAGUAAGUGGCUGCUUGCUAUGGUGCAAGUCACAGCUCAUGGUGGAUGACAUGUGUUGUUCUCGGAGUUGUGACUUGUACUGAUUAAAGCGGCAUUGGCCUCACGACCCAUGGUCUCUGAGCAUAUCAUGCUUGCACCGUGACCCCAGGUCAGUCGGGAUUACCCGCUGAAUUUAAGCAUAUCAAUAAG
rnacentral:rRNA from 1 species